CCCUUAGAUGUCCUGGGCCGCACGCGCGUUACACUGAUGCAUUCAACGAGCUUAUAACCUUGGCCGAGAGGCCUGGGCAAUCUUGUUAACGUGCAUCGUGAUAGGGAUAGAUUAUUGAAAUUAUUAAUCUUGAACGAGGAAUUCCUAGUAAACGCAGAUCAUCAAUCUGCAUUGAUUACGUCCCUGCCCUUUGUACACACCGCCCGUCGCACCUACCGAUUGGAUGGUCCGGUGAAGCCACGGGAUUGUGGUUCUUGCCGCUUUAUUGUGGCGUGACCGCGAGAACUUGUCUAAACCUUAUCAUCUAGAGGAAGGUGAAGUCGUAACA
rnacentral:rRNA from 1 species